GGAGAGAGCAGGGACCCAAGCUGAGCUGUGCCAGAUCCAGAGGGGCCAGAAAGCAGAUUAAGCUCCUUGGGAAGAAGGCAUUGGCAUUGGCUGAGAUUCCUGAAAGAGGAGUUUGCCUGCAUGCUGUUAAUCACUGAUAAUCAAGUCUAAGUGCUUAGACCUGCUGUGGGACAAUGUUUCUGUGGAAGAGUCUGCCCAGCCUGCACUAGCAGUGAGCUUCCCCCACUGAGAGCUGAGACCACUGAGAGCUGAGUGGAACCUCAAGAGACCAACUUGCAGAGGUCACAGUGGCAGAUGCAGAAGUUGACGGCACAGGGCCAAGGGCAAUGAAGCGGUGGAGUGAACGAUGGCACGACGAACAACAGUGGCCAGAGCGAGCAGCCAGUGGCUGGAAGAACAAGCAAGGUGCCUUCUGCCCUCCCCCCGCAAUUGGAGGUGAACUCACACAAAAGCACCCCUUAACUCUGGGUCUCCACUGACCAAGGACCACAACGCAGAUCAAAGUGAAAAUGAAAAGACAAAAAGCAAUGCAACAGUUUUUCCACUCUAAGGCCUCAAAAAUCAACCAAGAUGAAGAACACACUAAGAACAAAGAAUAUACCAACAUGUCAUCUGAAGGCUCACAUGGUAUAUUAACAUCUGAACAGCCUGAAGCACAAAUACAGCUACCAACUUAAGAAACAGCGUCUCCAAAACCUAAAGGCAGUUCCCAGUGUUUGUCAAUCAAAGUUUCCCAUUUACUGAAGUUACAAAAGAUGGCUACUGGUGCACUUCUUGCAAAACUCUUCCAAAGAAGGAAAGCUUCCCAAAGCUACAACUGGUAAAAGUGGUCAGGAGCUUGGUUUGCCAGACCGAUCAUCAAAGCCAAUACUGACAAACUACAUGAAAAGGCUGAAAAACACCAAGCCCCUAAGAAAGCCUUAUAAGCCAAUCACUGUCAAAGCCAAUUUCAGUAGUACCUAAUGAGGCUGUUAAGAAUGCUGGAUACACAACACAGUUUAUUCGAACAAACAUGGCUGUUGCUUCAUACUUUCUUUUUA